rnacentral:rRNA from 1 species
CAGCCGCCGCGGUAAUUCCAACCCCGCGAGUGGUCGGGACGUUUAUUGGGCCUAAAGCGUCCGUAGCCGGCCCGGUAAGUCCCUCCUUAAAGCCCACGGCUCAACAGUGGGAGCGGAGGGAUACUGCCGGGCUAGGGGGCGGGAGAGGCCGGGGGUACUCCUGGGGUAGGGGCGAAAUCCUAUAAUCCCAGGAGGACCACCAGUAGCGAAGGCGCCCGGCUAGCACGCGCCCGACGGUGAGGGACGAAAGCUGGGGGAGCAAAGGGGAUUAGAUACCCCCGUAGUCCCAGCUGUAAACGAUGCAGGCUAGGUGUUAGGCGGGCUUCGUGCCCGCCUAGUGCCGUAGGGAAGCCGUUAAGCCUGCCGCCUGGGGAGUACGGCCGCAAGGCUGAAACUUAAAGGAAUUGGCGGG